rnacentral:misc_RNA from 1 species
UUCGUGCGGCCGACUACCGGCGCCGUGUCUUUUCAUUCGUGUGAGCUAUCUUACUGUUGCCUUUCAAGUGCUUGCGUGAUGUUACCCGACCUACGGGUAUUGGUGCUUCAUACACAGUUGCCUCGCGGUGGACGCCUUUGGGUGUGCUGCUGCGGCCAUAUGGCGCUUGCGGCGUUGCCUCUUGGUGCUGGCAUGUUUCGUGCCUGGUGCUAUCAAGGCAGCCUCGCUCCCGCUGUUGGUUUCGGAUGUUGCUCAUGAUAAAGGCUCGUGGCCCUUUUGGUUGCCUCGACCUGACCCUAAUAAUGCUCUCCGAAUUUGAGAACAACCGGAACAUGUGUUGCCUCUACCUCUCCACAGUUAGUGGUAGGAUUACGCAACAUACUGCGCCGAUCCUCAUACUAGUAGGACGAGCUAGGCCCGCUCAAUUGCGACAACCGGCCCGGCUGUUGCCUCGCCUUGCCACGCAAGUGGAUGGGUGGAUGACUACCGACGCUGGA